CUACGUGCCAGCAGCCGCGGUAAUACGGAGGAUGCGAGCGUUAUCCGGAUUUAUUGGGUUUAAAGGGUGCGUAGGUUGUUCGGUAAGUCAGCGGUGAAACCUGAGCGCUCAACGUUCAGCCUGCCGUUGAAACUGCCGGGCUUGAGUUCAGUGGCGGCAGGCGGAAUUCGUGGUGUAGCGGUGAAAUGCAUAGAUAUCACGAGGAACUCCGAUUGCGAAGGCAGCUUGCCAUACUGCGACUGACACUGAAGCACGAAGGCGUGGGUAUCAAACAGGAUUAGAUACCCUGGUAGUCCACGCAGUAAACGAUGAUUACUAGGAGUUUGCGAUAUACCGUCAAGCUUCCACAGCGAAAGCGUUAAGUAAUCCACCUGGGGAGUACGCCGGCAACGGUGAAACUCAAAGGAAUCGACGGGGGCCCGCACAAGCGGAGGAACAUGUGGUUUAAUUCGAUGAUACGCGAGGAACCUUACCCGGGAUUGAA
rnacentral:rRNA from 1 species